UACCAGCACCCCGAGUGGUCGGGACGAUUAUUGGGCCUAAAGCAUCCGUACCGGCCUUACAAGUCCUCCGUUAAAUCCAGCUGCUUAACAGAUGGGCUGCGGAGGAUACUAUAAGACUAGGAGGCAGGAGAGGCAAGCGGUACUCAGUGGGUAGGGGUAAAAUCCGUUGAUCCAUUGAAGACCACCAGUGGCGAAGGCGGCUUGCCAGAAUGCGCUCGACGGUGAGGGAUGAAAGCUGGGGGAGCAAACCGG
rnacentral:rRNA from 1 species